rnacentral:misc_RNA from 1 species
UGUCUUUACAAAGAUUUUUUUUUUUUAAUUUUUUGAUAUCGGUGUCAGAUAUUGGGUCUGACAAUCUGUUUGUUUCAUAACAUGUUGAAUAUCUUGGAUUUAUCUAUGCAAUGAUAAUGUGGACAUGACUCUGCUUGUAUAUUAUUAUGGAAAUGUAUAUGCAGUUCCUGCAUGUACAUAAUUAUGGGCAUGCUUCCUAGGCUACUGGUCCAGUCACAUUUCCCUGGAACGAUAUCACCUGUGCUAAGUUGGGGUGCUGACAUGAGGGGGUGCUUGCUAGUGAAAAUGUGAAAUGUUGGGUUGAUAUUUUGCUAAACGAAGCUCAUGACUUUUGUAGGGACUGGGUAUGAAAGAGGCAGA